rnacentral:rRNA from 1 species
UACGAAGGGGGCUAGCGUUGCUCGGAAUCACUGGGCGUAAAGGGCGCGUAGGCGGCUUUGCAAGUGACGGGUGAAAGCCCUCGGCUUAACCGAGGAACUGCCUGUCAGACUGUAAGGCUUGAGACCGGGAGAGGUGAGUGGAAUUCCCAGUGUAGCGGUGAAAUGCGUAGAUAUUGGGAGGAACACCAGUGGCGAAGGCGGCUCACUGGACCGGAACUGACGCUGAGGCGCGAAAGCGUGGGGAGCAAACAGG